ACAAACUUGGUCAUUUAGAGGAAGUAAAAGUCGUAACAAGGUCUCCGUUGGUGAACCAGCGGAGGGAUCAUUACCGAGUUUACAAACUCCCAAACCCCUGUGAACUUAUACCACAAUACGUUGCUUCGGCGGGUCUCGCCCCGGAUGCCGUCCCGCCCCCGCGGUUGGCCGGCGCCGGAACCAGGCGCCCGCCGGAGGACCCAAACUCUUCUGUAUUCUAUACGAUGUAUGUCUGAGUGGAUUUAUCAAAAAUGAAUCAAAACUUUCAACAACGGAUCUCUUGGUUCUGGCAUCGAUGAAGAACGCAGC
rnacentral:misc_RNA from 1 species